rnacentral:misc_RNA from 1 species
GAUGAAGAACGUAGCAAAAUGCGAUAAGUAAUGUGAAUUGCAGAAUUCAGUGAAUCAUCGAAUCUUUGAACGCACAUUGCGCCCGCUGGUAUUCCGGCGGGCAUGCCUGUUCGAGCGUCAUUUCAACCCUCAAGCCCCCGGGUUUGGUGUUGGGGAUCGGCUCUGCCCUUCUGGGCGGUGCCGCCCCCGAAAUACAUUGGCGGUCUCGCUGCAGCCUCCAUUGCGUAGUAGCUAACACCUCGCAACUGGAACGCGGCGCGGCCAUGCCGUAAAACCCCAACUUCUGAAUGUUGACCUCGAAUCAGGUAGGAAUACCCGCUGAACUUAAGCAUAUCAAUAAGCGGAGGA